CCUACGGGAGGCAGCAGUGGGGAAUAUUGCACAAUGGGGGAAACCCUGAUGCAGCGACGCCGCGUGGGUGAAGAAGUAAUUCGGUAUGUAAAGCUCUAUCAGCAGGGAAGAAGGUGACGGUACCUGAGUAAGAAGCCCCGGCUAACUACGUGCCAGCAGCCGCGGUAAUACGUAGGGGGCAAGCGUUAUCCGGAUUUACUGGGUGUAAAGGGAGCGUAGACGGCAGUGCAAGUCUGGAGUGAAAGGCGGGGGCCCAACCCCCGGACUGCUCUGGAAACUGUCGGGCUGGAGUGCAGGAGGGGUAAGUGGAAUUCCUAGUGUAGCGGUGAAAUGCGUAGAUAUUAGGAGGAACACCAGUGGCGAAGGCGGCUUACUGGACUGUAACUGACGUUGAGGCUCGAAAGCGUGGGGAGCAAACAGGAUUAGAUACCCGGGUAGUC
rnacentral:rRNA from 1 species